rnacentral:lncRNA from 1 species
GGCUUCGAAGACACACUAUGCCCACAGAACUAUUCCAACCCAUGGUCAAUGAAAAGCCCAGCCCUACCUGCAGAACAAAGCUUUGCAGUUUGUACCCAACAGUCAUUGCCAGGGACCCAGAACUGAUAAUCAGGACUUUUAGGCUGAGUGAAUAAAAAAUUGAUGGUUGAAAAUUUAAGAAAGAGUUAUCUUCUUUGUGUUUUGACAUUUUGGAGGAGUUGACAGAUAAAGACAAGGCUUGGGGGUAUUUCCAAUGACAAGGAGGUGCUUGGAGCUGGAGUUGAACCAGCGACCUUAGGAUCACGGCGUUUCACACAAGGAGCAUCUUACAGUCCACCGCUCUACCAACUGAGCUAUCAAGGUGCUCUCUAGUCACAAGUGCAGAAAACAUAGUGGCUUCGAAGACACACUAUGCCCACAGAACUAUUCCAACCCAUGGUCAAUGAAAAGCCCAGCCCUACCUGCAGAACAAAGCUUUGCAGUUUGUACCCAACAGUCAUUGCCAGGGACCCAGAACUGAUAAUCAGGACUUUUAGGCUGAGUGAAUAAAAAAUUGAUGGUUGAAAAUUUAAGAAAGAGUUAUCUUGUUUGUGUUUUGACAUUUUGGAGGAGUUGACAGAUAAAGACAAGGCUUGGGGGUAUUUCCAAUGACAAGGAGGUGCUUGGAGCUGGAGUUGAACCAGCGACCUUAGGAUCACAGCGUUUCACACAAGGAGCAUCUUACAGUCCACCGCUCUACCAACUGAGCUAUCAAGGUGCUCUCUAGUCACAAGUGCAGAAAACAUAGUGGCUUCGAAGACACACUAUGCCCACAGAACUAUUCCAACCCAUGGUCAAUGAAAAGCCCAGCCCUACCUGCAGAACAAAGCUUUGCAGUUUGUACCCAACAGUCAUUGCCAGGGACCCAGAACUGAUAAUCAGGACUUUUAGGCUGAGUGAAUAAAAAAUUGAUGGUUGAAAAUUUAAGAAAGAGUUAUCUUGUUUGUGUUUUGACAUUUUGGAGGAGUUGACAGAUAAAGACAAGGCUUGGGGGUAUUUCCAAUGACAAGGAGGUGCUUGGAGCUGGAGUUGAACCAGCGACCUUAGGAUCACGGCGUUUCACACAAGGAGCAUCUUACAGUCCACCGCUCUACCAACUGAGCUAUCAAGGUGCUCUCUAGUCACAAGUGCAGAAAACAUAGUGGCUUCGAAGACACACUAUGCCCACAGAACUAUUCCAACCCAUGGUCAAUGAAAAGCCCAGCCCUACCUGCAGAACAAAGCUUUGCAGUUUGUACCCAACAGUCAUUGCCAGGGACCCAGAACUGAUAAUCAGGACUUUUAGGCUGAGUGAAUAAAAAAUUGAUGGUUGAAAAUUUAAGAAAGAGUUAUCUUGUUUGUGUUUUGACAUUUUGGAGGAGUUGACAGAUAAAGACAAGGCUUGGGGGUAUUUCCAAUGACAAGGAGGUGCUUGGAGCUGGAGUUGAACCAGCGACCUUAGGAUCACGGCGUUUCACACAAGGAGCAUCUUACAGUCCACCGCUCUACCAACUGAGCUAUCAAGGUGCUCUCUAGUCACAAGUGCAGAAAACAUAGUGGCUUCGAAGACACACUAUGCCCACAGAACUAUUCCAACCCAUGGUCAAUGAAAAGCCCAGCCCUACCUGCAGAACAAAGCUUUGCAGUUUGUACCCAACAGUCAUUGCCAGGGACCCAGAACUGAUAAUCAGGACUUUUAGGCUGAGUGAAUAAAAAAUUGAUGGUUGAAAAUUUAAGAAAGAGUUAUCUUGUUUGUGUUUUGACAUUUUGGAGGAGUUGACAGAUAAAGACAAGGCUUGGGGGUAUUUCCAAUGACAAGGAGGUGCUUGGAGCUGGAGUUGAACCAGCGACCUUAGGAUCACGGCGUUUCACACAAGGAGCAUCUUACAGUCCACCGCUCUACCAACUGAGCUAUCAAGGUGCUCUCUAGUCACAAGUGCAGAAAACAUAGUGGCUUCGAAGACACACUAUGCCCACAGAACUAUUCCAACCCAUGGUCAAUGAAAAGCCCAGCCCUACCUGCAGAACAAAGCUUUGCAGUUUGUACCCAACAGUCAUUGCCAGGGACCCAGAACUGAUAAUCAGGACUUUUAGGCUGAGUGAAUAAAAAAUUGAUGGUUGAAAAUUUAAGAAAGAGUUAUCUUCUUUGUGUUUUGACAUUUUGGAGGAGUUGACAGAUAAAGACAAGGCUUGGGGGUAUUUCCAAUGACAAGGAGGUGCUUGGAGCUGGAGUUGAACCAGCGACCUUAGGAUCACAGCGUUUCACACAAGGAGCAUCUUACAGUCCACCGCUCUACCAACUGAGCUAUCAAGGUGCUCUCUAGUCACAAGUGCAGAAAACAUAGUGGCUUCGAAGACACACUAUGCCCACAGAACUAUUCCAACCCAUGGUCAAUGAAAAGCCCAGCCCUACCUGCAGAACAAAGCUUUGCAGUUUGUACCCAACAGUCAUUGCCAGGGACCCAGAACUGAUAAUCAGGACUUUUAGGCUGAGUGAAUAAAAAAUUGAUGGUUGAAAAUUUAAGAAAGAGUUAUCUUCUUUGUGUUUUGACAUUUUGGAGGAGUUGACAGAUAAAGACAAGGCUUGGGGGUAUUUCCAAUGACAAGGAGGUGCUUGGAGCUGGAGUUGAACCAGCGACCUUAGGAUCACGGCGUUUCACACAAGGAGCAUCUUACAGUCCACCGCUCUACCAACUGAGCUAUCAAGGUGCUCUCUAGUCACAAGUGCAGAAAACAUAGUGGCUUCGAAGACACACUAUGCCCACAGAACUAUUCCAACCCAUGGUCAAUGAAAAGCCCAGCCCUACCUGCAGAACAAAGCUUUGCAGUUUGUACCCAACAGUCAUUGCCAGGGACCCAGAACUGAUAAUCAGGACUUUUAGGCUGGGUGAAUAAAAAAUUGAUGGUUGAAAAUUUAAGAAAGAGUUAUCUUCUUUGUGUUUUGACAUUUUGGAGGAGUUGACAGAUAAAGACAAGGCUUGGGGGUAUUUCCAAUGACAAGGAGGUGCUUGGAGCUGGAGUUGAACCAGCGACCUUAGGAUCACAGCGUUUCACACAAGGAGCAUCUUACAGGCCACCGCUCUACCAACUGAGCUAUCAAGGUGCUCUCUAGUCACAAGUGCAGAAAACAUAGUGGCUUCGAAGACACACUAUGCCCACAGAACUAUUCCAACCCAUGGUCAAUGAAAAGCCCAGCCCUACCUGCAGAACAAAGCUUUGCAGUUUGUACCCAACAGUCAUUGCCAGGGACCCAGAACUGAUAAUCAGGACUUUUAGGCUGGGUGAAUAAAAAAUUGAUGGUUGAAAAUUUAAGAAAGAGUUAUCUUCUUUGUGUUUUGACAUUUUGGAGGAGUUGACAGAUAAAGACAAGGCUUGGGGGUAUUUCCAAUGACAAGGAGGUGCUUGGAGCUGGAGUUGAACCAGCGACCUUAGGAUCACAGCGUUUCACACAAGGAGCAUCUUACAGUCCACCGCUCUACCAACUGAGCUAUCAAGGUGCUCUCUAGUCACAAGUGCAGAAAACAUAGUGGCUUCGAAGACACACUAUGCCCACAGAACUAUUCCAACCCAUGGUCAAUGAAAAGCCCAGCCCUACCUGCAGAACAAAGCUUUGCAGUUUGUACCCAACAGUCAUUGCCAGGGACCCAGAACUGAUAAUCAGGACUUUUAGGCUGAGUGAAUAAAAAAUUGAUGGUUGAAAAUUUAAGAAAGAGUUAUCUUCUUUGUGUUUUGACAUUUUGGAGGAGUUGACAGAUAAAGACAAGGCUUGGGGGUAUUUCCAAUGACAAGGAGGUGCUUGGAGCUGGAGUUGAACCAGCGACCUUAGGAUCACAGCGUUUCACACAAGGAGCAUCUUACAGUCCACCGCUCUACCAACUGAGCUAUCAAGGUGCUCUCUAGUCACAAGUGCAGAAAACAUAGUGGCUUCGAAGACACACUAUGCCCACAGAACUAUUCCAACCCAUGGUCAAUGAAAAGCCCAGCCCUACCUGCAGAACAAAGCUUUGCAGUUUGUACCCAACAGUCAUUGCCAGGGACCCAGAACUGAUAAUCAGGACUUUUAGGCUGAGUGAAUAAAAAAUUGAUGGUUGAAAAUUUAAGAAAGAGUUAUCUUCUUUGUGUUUUGACAUUUUGGAGGAGUUGACAGAUAAAGACAAGGCUUGGGGGUAUUUCCAAUGACAAGGAGGUGCUUGGAGCUGGAGUUGAACCAGCGACCUUAGGAUCACAGCGUUUCACACAAGGAGCAUCUUACAGUCCACCGCUCUACCAACUGAGCUAUCAAGGUGCUCUCUAGUCACAAGUGCAGAAAACAUAGUGGCUUCGAAGACACACUAUGCCCACAGAACUAUUCCAACCCAUGGUCAAUGAAAAGCCCAGCCCUACCUGCAGAACAAAGCUUUGCAGUUUGUACCCAACAGUCAUUGCCAGGGACCCAGAACUGAUAAUCAGGACUUUUAGGCUGAGUGAAUAAAAAAUUGAUGGUUGAAAAUUUAAGAAAGAGUUAUCUUCUUUGUGUUUUGACAUUUUGGAGGAGUUGACAGAUAAAGACAAGGCUUGGGGGUAUUUCCAAUGACAAGGAGGUGCUUGGAGCUGGAGUUGAACCAGCGACCUUAGGAUCACAGCGUUUCACACAAGGAGCAUCUUACAGUCCACCGCUCUACCAACUGAGCUAUCAAGGUGCUCUCUAGUCACAAGUGCAGAAAACAUAGUGGCUUCGAAGACACACUAUGCCCACAGAACUAUUCCAACCCAUGGUCAAUGAAAAGCCCAGCCCUACCUGCAGAACAAAGCUUUGCAGUUUGUACCCAACAGUCAUUGCCAGGGACCCAGAACUGAUAAUCAGGACUUUUAGGCUGGGUGAAUAAAAAAUUGAUGGUUGAAAAUUUAAGAAAGAGUUGUCUUCUUUGUGUUUUGACAUUUUGGAGGAGUUGACAGAUAAAGACAAGGCUUGGGGGUAUUUCCAAUGACAAGGAGGUGCUUGGAGCUGGAGUUGAACCAGCGAGCUUAGGAUCACGGCGUUUCACACAAGGAGCAUCUUACAGUCCACCGCUCUACCAACUGAGCUAUCAAGGUGCUCUCUAGUCACAAGUGCAGAAAACAUAGUGGCUUCGAAGACACACUAUGCCCACAGAACUAUUCCAACCCAUGGUCAAUGAAAAGCCCAGCCCUACCUGCAGAACAAAGCUUUGCAGUUUGUACCCAACAGUCAUUGCCAGGGACCCAGAACUGAUAAUCAGGACUUUUAGGCUGGGUGAAUAAAAAAUUGAUGGUUGAAAAUUUAAGAAAGAGUUAUCUUCUUUGUGUUUUGACAUUUUGGAGGAGUUGACAGAUAAAGACAAGGCUUGGGGGUAUUUCCAAUGACAAGGAGGUGCUUGGAGCUGGAGUUGAACCAGCGAGCUUAGGAUCACGGCGUUUCACACAAGGAGCAUCUUACAGUCCACCGCUCUACCAACUGAGCUAUCAAGGUGCUCUCUAGUCACAAGUGCAGAAAACAUAGUGGCUUCAAAGACACACUAUGCCCACAGAACUAUUCCAACCCAUGGUCAAUGAAAAGCCCAGCCCUACCUGCAGAACAAAGCUUUGCAGUUUGUACCCAACAGUCAUUGCCAGGGACCCAGAACUGAUAAUCAGGACUUUUAGGCUGGGUGAAUAAAAAAUUGAUGGUUGAAAAUUUAAGAAAGAGUUAUCUUCUUUGUGUUUUGACAUUUUGGAGGAGUUGACAGAUAAAGACAAGGCUUGGGGGUAUUUCCAAUGACAAGGAGGUGCUUGGAGCUGGAGUUGAACCAGCGACCUUAGGAUCACAGCGUUUCACACAAGGAGCAUCUUACAGUCCACCGCUCUACCAACUGAGCUAUCAAGGUGCUCUCUAGUCACAAGUGCAGAAAACAUAGUGGCUUCGAAGACACACUAUGCCCACAGAACUAUUCCAACCCAUGGUCAAUGAAAAGCCCAGCCCUACCUGCAGAACAAAGCUUUGCAGUUUGUACCCAACAGUCAUUGCCAGGGACCCAGAACUGAUAAUCAGGACUUUUAGGCUGAGUGAAUAAAAAAUUGAUGGUUGAAAAUUUAAGAAAGAGUUAUCUUCUUUGUGUUUUGACAUUUUGGAGGAGUUGACAGAUAAAGACAAGGCUUGGGGGUAUUUCCAAUGACAAGGAGGUGCUUGGAGCUGGAGUUGAACCAGCGACCUUAGGAUCACAGCGUUUCACACAAGGAGCAUCUUACAGUCCACCGCUCUACCAACUGAGCUAUCAAGGUGCUCUCUAGUCACAAGUGCAGAAAACAUAGUGGCUUCGAAGACACACUAUGCCCACAGAACUAUUCCAACCCAUGGUCAAUGAAAAGCCCAGCCCUACCUGCAGAACAAAGCUUUGCAGUUUGUACCCAACAGUCAUUGCCAGGGACCCAGAACUGAUAAUCAGGACUUUUAGGCUGAGUGAAUAAAAAAUUGAUGGUUGAAAAUUUAAGAAAGAGUUAUCUUCUUUGUGUUUUGACAUUUUGGAGGAGUUGACAGAUAAAGACAAGGCUUGGGGGUAUUUCCAAUGACAAGGAGGUGCUUGGAGCUGGAGUUGAACCAGCGACCUUAGGAUCACGGCGUUUCACACAAGGAGCAUCUUACAGUCCACCGCUCUACCAACUGAGCUAUCAAGGUGCUCUCUAGUCACAAGUGCAGAAAACAUAGUGGCUUCGAAGACACACUAUGCCCACAGAACUAUUCCAACCCAUGGUCAAUGAAAAGCCCAGCCCUACCUGCAGAACAAAGCUUUGCAGUUUGUACCCAACAGUCAUUGCCAGGGACCCAGAACUGAUAAUCAGGACUUUUAGGCUGGGUGAAUAAAAAAUUGAUGGUUGAAAAUUUAAGAAAGAGUUAUCUUCUUUGUGUUUUGACAUUUUGGAGGAGUUGACAGAUAAAGACAAGGCUUGGGGGUAUUUCCAAUGACAAGGAGGUGCUUGGAGCUGGAGUUGAACCAGCGACCUUAGGAUCACAGCGUUUCACACAAGGAGCAUCUUACAGUCCACCGCUCUACCAACUGAGCUAUCAAGGUGCUCUCUAGUCACAAGUGCAGAAAACAUAGUGGCUUCAAAGACACACUAUGCCCACAGAACUAUUCCAACCCAUGGUCAAUGAAAAGCCCAGCCCUACCUGCAGAACAAAGCUUUGCAGUUUGUACCCAACAGUCAUUGCCAGGGACCCAGAACUGAUAAUCAGGACUUUUAGGCUGGGUGAAUAAAAAAUUGAUGGUUGAAAAUUUAAGAAAGAGUUAUCUUCUUUGUGUUUUGACAUUUUGGAGGAGUUGACAGAUAAAGACAAGGCUUGGGGGUAUUUCCAAUGACAAGGAGGUGCUUGGAGCUGGAGUUGAACCAGCGACCUUAGGAUCACAGCGUUUCACACAAGGAGCAUCUUACAGUCCACCGCUCUACCAACUGAGCUAUCAAGGUGCUCUCUAGUCACAAGUGCAGAAAACAUAGUGGCUUCAAAGACACACUAUGCCCACAGAACUAUUCCAACCCAUGGUCAAUGAAAAGCCCAGCCCUACCUGCAGAACAAAGCUUUGCAGUUUGUACCCAACAGUCAUUGCCAGGGACCCAGAACUGAUAAUCAGGACUUUUAGGCUGGGUGAAUAAAAAAUUGAUGGUUGAAAAUUUAAGAAAGAGUUAUCUUCUUUGUGUUUUGACAUUUUGGAGGAGUUGACAGAUAAAGACAAGGCUUGGGGGUAUUUCCAAUGACAAGGAGGUGCUUGGAGCUGGAGUUGAACCAGCGACCUUAGGAUCACGGCGUUUCACACAAGGAGCAUCUUACAGUCCACCGCUCUACCAACUGAGCUAUCAAGGUGCUCUCUAGUCACAAGUGCAGAAAACAUAGUGGCUUCGAAGACACACUAUGCCCACAGAACUAUUCCAACCCAUGGUCAAUGAAAAGCCCAGCCCUACCUGCAGAACAAAGCUUUGCAGUUUGUACCCAACAGUCAUUGCCAGGGACCCAGAACUGAUAAUCAGGACUUUUAGGCUGAGUGAAUAAAAAAUUGAUGGUUGAAAAUUUAAGAAAGAGUUAUCUUCUUUGUGUUUUGACAUUUUGGAGGAGUUGACAGAUAAAGACAAGGCUUGGGGGUAUUUCCAAUGACAAGGAGGUGCUUGGAGCUGGAGUUGAAUCAGCGACCUUAGGAUCACAGCGUUUCACACAAGGAGCAUCUUACAGUCCACCGCUCUACCAACUGAGCUAUCAAGGUGCUCUCUAGUCACAAGUGCAGAAAACAUAGUGGCUUCGAAGACACACUAUGCCCACAGAACUAUUCCAACCCAUGGUCAAUGAAAAGCCCAGCCCUACCUGCAGAACAAAGCUUUGCAGUUUGUACCCAACAGUCAUUGCCAGGGACCCAGAACUGAUAAUCAGGACUUUUAGGCUGAGUGAAUAAAAAAUUGAUGGUUGAAAAUUUAAGAAAGAGUUAUCUUCUUUGUGUUUUGACAUUUUGGAGGAGUUGACAGAUAAAGACAAGGCUUGGGGGUAUUUCCAAUGACAAGGAGGUGCUUGGAGCUGGAGUUGAACCAGCGACCUUAGGAUCACAGCGUUUCACACAAGGAGCAUCUUACAGUCCACUGCUCUACCAACUGAGCUAUCAAGGUGCUCUCUAGUCACAAUUGCAGAAAACAUAGUGGCUUCGAAGACACACUAUGCCCACAGAACUAUUCCAACCCAUGGUCAAUGAAAAGCCCAGCCCUACCUGCAGAACAAAGCUUUGCAGUUUGUACCCAACAGUCAUUGCCAGGGACCCAGAACUGAUAAUCAGGACUUUUAGGCUGGGUGAAUAAAAAAUUGAUGGUUGAAAAUUCAAGAAAGAGUUAUAUUCUUUGUGUUUUGACAUUUUGGAGGAGUUGACAGAUAAAGACAAGGCUUGGGGGUAUUUCCAAUGACAAGGAGGUGCUUGGAGCUGGAGUUGAACCAGCGAGCUUAGGAUCACGGAGUUUCACACAAGGAGCAUCUUACAGUCCACCGCUCUACCAACUGAGCAAUCAAGGUGCUCUCUAGUCACAAGUGCAGAAAACAUAGUGGCUUCGAAGACACACUAUGCCCACAGAACUAUUCCAACCCAUGGUCAAUGAAAAGCCCAGCCCUACCUGCAGAACAAAGCUUUGCAGUUUGUACCCAACAGUCAUUGCCAGGGACCCAGAACUGAUAAUCAGGACUUUUAGGCUGGGUGAAUAAAAAAUUGAUGGUUGAAAAUUUAAGAAAGAGUUAUCUUCUUUGUGUUUUGACAUUUUGGAGGAGUUGACACAUAAAGACAAGGUUUGGGGGUAUUUACAAUGACAAGGAGGUGCUUGGAGCUGGAGUUGAAUCAGCGACCUUAGGAUCACAGCGUUUCACACAAGGAGCAUCUUACAGUCCACCGCUCUACCAACUGAGCUAUCAAGGUGCUCUCUAGUCACAAGUGCAGAAAACAUAGUGGCUUCGAAGACACACUAUGCCCACAGAACUAUUCCAACCCAUGGUCAAUGAAAAGCCCAGCCCUACCUGCAGAACACAGCUUUGCAGUUUGUACCCAACAGUCAUUGCCAGGGACCCAGAACUGAUAAUCAGGACUUUUAGGCUGAGUGAAUAAAAAAUUGAUGGUUGAAAAUUUAAGAAAGAGUUAUCUUCUUUGUGUUUUGACAUUUUGGAGGAGUUGACAGAUAAAGACAAGGCUUGGGGGUAUUUCCAAUGACAAGGAGGUGCUUGGAGCUGGAGUUGAACCAGCGAGCUUAGGAUCACGGCGUUUCACACAAGGAGCAUCUUACAGUCCACCGCUCUACCAACUGAGCUAUCAAGGUGCUCUCUAGUCACAAGUGCAGAAAACAUAGUGGCUUCGAAGACACACUAUGCCCACAGAACUAUUCCAACCCAUGGUCAAUGAAAAGCCCAGCCCUACCUGCAGAACAAAGCUUUGCAGUUUGUACCCAACAGUCAUUGCCAGGGACCCAGAACUGAUAAUCAGGACUUUUAGGCUGGGUGAAUAAAAAAUUGAUGGUUGAAAAUUUAAGAAAGAGUUAUCUUCUUUGUGUUUUGACAUUUUGGAGGAGUUGACACAUAAAGACAAGGUUUGGGGGUAUUUACAAUGACAAGGAGGUGCUUGGAGCUGGAGUUGAAUCAGCGACCUUAGGAUCACAGCGUUUCACACAAGGAGCAUCUUACAGUCCACCGCUCUACCAACUGAGCUAUCAAGGUGCGCUCUAGUCACAAGUGCAGAAAACAUAGUGGCUUCGAAGACACACUAUGCCCACAGAACUAUUCCAACCCAUGGUCAAUGAAAAGCCCAGCCCUACCUGCAGAACACAGCUUUGCAGUUUGUACCCAACAGUCAUUGCCAGGGACCCAGAACUGAUAAUCAGGACUUUUAGGCUGGGUGAAUAAAAAAUUGAUGGUUGAAAAUUUAAGAAAGAGUUAUCUUCUUUGUGUUUUGACAUUUUGGAGGAGUUGACACAUAAAGACAAGGCUUGGGGGUAUUUACAAUGACAAGGAGGUGCUUGGAGCUGGAGUUGAACCAGCGAGCUUAGGAUCACGGCGUUUCACACAAGGAGCAUCUUACAGUCCACCGCUCUACCAACUGAGCUAUCAAGGUGCUCUCUAGUCACAAGUGCAGAAAACAUAGUGGCUUCGAAGACACACUAUGCCCACAGAACUAUUCCAACCCAUGGUCAAUGAAAAGCCCAGCCCUACCUGCAGAACAAAGCUUUGCAGUUUGUACCCAACAGUCAUUGCCAGGGACCCAGAACUGAUAAUCAGGACUUUUAGGCUGAGUGAAUAAAAAAUUGAUGGUUGAAAAUUUAAGAAAGAGUUAUCUUCUUUGUGUUUUGACAUUUUGGAGGAGUUGACAGAUAAAGACAAGGCUUGGGGGUAUUUCCAAUGACAAGGAGGUGCUUGGAGCUGGAGUUGAACCAGCGAGCUUAGGAUCACGGCGUUUCACACACGGGGAGCAUCUUACAGUCCACCGCUCUACCAACUGAGCUAUCAAGGUGCUCUCUAGUCACAAGUGCAGAAAACAUAGUGGCUUCGAAGACACACUAUGCCCACAGAACUAUUCCAACCCAUGGUCAAUGAAAAGCCCAGCCCUACCUGCAGAACAAAGCUUUGCAGUUUGUACCCAACAGUCAUUGCCAGGGACCCAGAACUGAUAAUCAGGACUUUUAGGCUGGGUGAAUAAAAAAUUGAUGGUUGAAAAUUUAAGAAAGAGUUAUAUUCUUUGUGUUUUGACAUUUUGGAGGAGUUGACAGAUAAAGACAAGGCUUGGGGGUAUUUCCAAUGACAAGGAGGUGCUUGGAGCUGGAGUUGAACCAGCGACCUUAGGAUCACAGCGUUUCACACAAGGAGCAUCUUACAGUCCACCGCUCUACCAACUGAGCUAUCAAGGUGCUCUCUAGUCACAAGUGCAGAAAACAUAGUGGCUUCGAAGACACACUAUGCCCACAGAACUAUUCCAACCCAUGGUCAAUGAAAAGCCCGGCCCUACCUGCAGAACAAAGCUUUGCAGUUUGUACCCAACAGUCAUUGCCAGGGACCCAGAACUGAUAAUCAGGACUUUUAGGCUGAGUGAAUAAAAAAUUGAUGGUUGAAAAUUUAAGAAAGAGUUAUCUUCUUUGUGUUUUGACAUUUUGGAGGAGUUGACAGAUAAAGACAAGGCUUGGGGGUAUUUCCAAUGACAAGGAGGUGCUUGGAGCUGGAGUUGAACCAGGGACCUUAGGAUCACAGCGUUUCACACAAGGAGCAUCUUACAGUCCACCGCUCUACCAACUGAGCUAUCAAGGUGCUCUCUAGUCACAAUUGCAGAAAACAUAGUGGCUUCGAAGACACACUAUGCCCACAGAACUAUUCCAACCCAUGGUCAAUGAAAAGCCCAGCCCUACCUGCAGAACAAAGCUUUGCAGUUUGUACCCAACAGUCAUUGCCAGGGACCCAGAACUGAUAAUCAGGACUUUUAGGCUGGGUGAAUAAAAAAUUGAUGGUUGAAAAUUCAAGAAAGAGUUAUAUUCUUUGUGUUUUGACAUUUUGGAGGAGUUGACAGAUAAAGACAAGGCUUGGGGGUAUUUCCAAUGACAAGGAGGUGCUUGGAGCUGGAGUUGAAUCAGCGACCUUAGGAUCACAGCGUUUCACACAAGGAGCAUCUUACAGUCCACCGCUCUACCAACUGAGCUAUCAAGGUGCUCUCUAGUCACAAGUGCAGAAAACAUAGUGGCUUCGAAGACACACUAUGCCCACAGAACUAUUCCAACCCAUGGUCAAUGAAAAGCCCAGCCCUACCUGCAGAACAAAGCUUUGCAGUUUGUACCCAACAGUCAUUGCCAGGGACCCAGAACUGAUAAUCAGGACUUUUAGGCUGAGUGAAUAAAAAAUUGAUGGUUGAAAAUUUAAGAAAGAGUUAUCUUCUUUGUGUUUUGACAUUUUGGAGGAGUUGACAGAUAAAGACAAGGGUUGGGGGUAUUUCCAAUGACAAGGAGGUGCUUGGAGCUGGAGUUGAACCAGCGAGCUUAGGAUCACGGCGUUUCACACAAGGAGCAUCUUACAGUCCACCGCUCUACCAACUGAGCUAUCAAGGUGCUCUCUAGUCACAAGUGCAGAAAACAUAGUGGCUUCGAAGACACACUAUGCCCACAGAACUAUUCCAACCCAUGGUCAAUGAAAAGCCCAGCCCUACCUGCAGAACAAAGCUUUGCAGUUUGUACCCAACAGUCAUUGCCAGGGACCCAGAACUGAUAAUCAGGACUUUUAGGCUGGGUGAAUAAAAAAUUGAUGGUUGAAAAUUUAAGAAAGAGUUAUAUUCUUUGUGUUUUGACAUUUUGGAGGAGUUGACAGAUAAAGACAAGGCUUGGGGGUAUUUCCAAUGACAAGGAGGUGCUUGGAGCUGGAGUUGAACCAGCGACCUUAGGAUCACAGCGUUUCACACAAGGAGCAUCUUACAGUCCACCGCUCUACCAACUGAGCUAUCAAGGUGCGCUCUAGUCACAAGUGCAGAAAACAUAGUGGCUUCGAAGACACACUAUGCCCACAGAACUAUUCCAACCCAUGGUCAAUGAAAAGCCCAGCCCUACCUGCAGAACACAGCUUUGCAGUUUGUACCCAACAGUCAUUGCCAGGGACCCAGAACUGAUAAUCAGGACUUUUAGGCUGAGUGAAUAAAAAAUUGAUGGUUGAAAAUUUAAGAAAGAGUUAUCUUCUUUGUGUUUUGACAUUUUGGAGGAGUUGACAGAUAAAGACAAGGCUUGGGGGUAUUUCCAAUGACAAGGACGUGCUUGGAGCUGGAGUUGAACCAGCGACCUUAGGAUCACAGCGUUUCACACAAGGAGCAUCUUACAGUCCACCGCUCUACCAACUGAGCUAUCAAGGUGCUCUCUAGUCACAAUUGCAGAAAACAUAGUGGCUUCGAAGACACACUAUGCCCACAGAACUAUUCCAACCCAUGGUCAAUGAAAAGCCCAGCCCUACCUGCAGAACAAAGCUUUGCAGUUUGUACCCAACAGUCAUUGCCAGGGACCCAGAACUGAUAAUCAGGACUUUUAGGCUGGGUGAAUAAAAAAUUGAUGGUUGAAAAUUUAAGAAAGAGUUUUCUUCUUUGUGUUUUGACAUUUUGGAGGAGUUGACAGAUAAAGACAAGGCUUGGGGGUAUUUCCAAUGACAAGGAGGUGCUUGGAGCUGGAGUUGAACCAGCGACCUUAGGAUCACAGCGUUUCACACAAGGAGCAUCUUACAGUCCACCGCUCUACCAACUGAGCUAUCAAGGUGCGCUCUAGUCACAAGUGCAGAAAACAUAGUGGCUUCGAAGACACACUAUGCCCACAGAACUAUUCCAACCCAUGGUCAAUGAAAAGCCCAGCCCUACCUGCAGAACAAAGCUUUGCAGUUUGUACCCAACAGUCAUUGCCAGGGACCCAGAACUGAUAAUCAGGACUUUUAGGCUGAGUGAAUAAAAAAUUGAUGGUUGAAAAUUUAAGAAAGAGUAAACUUCUUUGUGUUUUGACAUUUUGGAGGAGUUGACAGAUAAAGACAAGGCUUGGGGGUAUUUCCAAUGACAAGGAGGUGCUUGGAGCUGGAGAUGAACCAGCGACCUUAGGAUCACAGCGUUUCACACAAGGAGCAUCUUACAGUCCACCGCUCUACCAACUGAGCUAUCAAGGUGCUCUCUAGUCACAAGUGCAGAAAACAUAGUGGCUUCGAAGACACACUAUGCCCACAGAACUAUUCCAACCCAUGGUCAAUGAAAAGCCCAGCCCUACCUGCAGAACAAAGCUUUGCAGUUUGUACCCAACAGUCAUUGCCAGGGACCCAGAACUGAUAAUCAGGACUUUUAGGCUGAGUGAAUAAAAAAUUGAUGGUUGAAAAUUUAAGAAAGAGAUAUCUUCUUUGUGUUUUGACAUAUUGGAGGAGUUGACAGAUAAAGACAAGGCUUGGGGGUAUUUCCAGUGACAAGGAGGUGCUUGGAGCUGGAGUUGAACCAGCGAGCUUAGGAUCACGGCGUUUCACACAAGGAGCAUCUUACAGUCCACCGCUCUACCAACUGAGCUAUCAAGGUGCUCUCUAGUCACAAGUGCAGAAAACAUAGUGGCUUCGAAGACACACUAUGCCCACAGAACUAUUCCAACCCAUGGUCAAUGAAAAGCCCAGCCCUACCUGCAGAACAAAACUUUGCAGUUUGUACCCAACAGUCAUUGCCAGGGACCCAGAACUGAUAAUCAGGACUUUUAGGCUGAGUGAAUAAAAAAUUGAUGGUUGAAAAUUUAAGAAAGAGUUAUCUUCUUUGUGUUUUGACAUUUUGGAGGAGUUGACAGAUAAAGACAAGGCUUGGGGGUAUUUCCAAUGACAAGGAGGUGCUUGGAGCUGGAGUUGAACCAGCGAGCUUAGGAUCACGGCGUUUCACACAAGGAGCAUCUUACAGUCCACCGCUCUACCAACUGAGCUAUCAAGGUGCUCUCUAGUCACAAGUGCAGAAAACAUAGUGGCUUCGAAGACACACUAUGCCCACAGAACUAUUCCAACCCAUGGUCAAUGAAAAGCCCAGCCCUACCUGCAGAACAAAGCUUUGCAGUUUGUACCCAACAGUCAUUGCCAGGGACCCAGAACUGAUAAUCAGGACUUUUAGGCUGGGUGAAUAAAAAAUUGAUGGUUGAAAAUUUAAGAAAGAGUUUUCUUCUUUGUGUUUUGACAUUUUGGAGGAGUUGACAGAUAAAGACAAGGCUUGGGGGUAUUUCCAAUGACAAGGAGGUGCUUGGUGCUGGAGUUGAACCAGCGACCUUAGGAUCACGGCGUUUCACACAAGGAGCAUCUUACAGUCCACCGCUCUACCAACUGAGCUAUCAAGGUGCUCUCUAGUCACAAGUGCAGAAAACAUAGUGGCUUCGAAGACACACUAUGCCCACAGAACUAUUCCAACCCAUGGUCAAUGAAAAGCCCAGCCCUACCUGCAGAACAAAGCUUUGCAGUUUGUACCCAACAGUCAUUGCCAGGGACCCAGAACUGAUAAUCAGGACUUUUAGGCUGGGUGAAUAAAAAAUUGAUGGUUGAAAAUUUAAGAAAGAGUUAUCUUCUUUGUGUUUUGACAUUUUGGAGGAGUUGACAGAUAAAGACAAGGCUUGGGGGUAUUUCCAAUGACAAGGAGGUGCUUGGAGCUGGAGUUGAACCAGCGACCUUAGGAUCACGGCGUUUCACACAAGGAGCAUCUUACAGUCCACCGCUCUACCAACUGAGCUAUCAAGGUGCUCUCUAGUCACAAGUGCAGAAAACAUAGUGGCUUCGAAGACACACUAUGCCCACAGAACUAUUCCAACCCAUGGUCAAUGAAAAGCCCAGCCCUACCUGCAGAACAAAGCUUUGCAGUUUGUACCCAACAGUCAUUGCCAGGGACCCAGAACUGAUAAUCAGGACUUUUAGGCUGAGUGAAUAAAAAAUUGAUGGUUGAAAAUUUAAGAAAGAGUUAUCUUCUUUGUGUUUUGACAUUUUGGAGGAGUUGACAGAUAAAGACAAGGCUUGGGGGUAUUUCCAAUGACAAGGAGGUGCUUGGAGCUGGAGUUGAACCAGCGACCUUAGGAUCACGGCGUUUCACACAAGGAGCAUCUUACAGUCCACCGCUCUACCAACUGAGCUAUCAAGGUGCUCUCUAGUCACAAGUGCAGAAAACAUAGUGGCUUCGAAGACACACUAUGCCCACAGAACUAUUCCAACCCAUGGUCAAUGAAAAGCCCAGCCCUACCUGCAGAACAAAGCUUUGCAGUUUGUACCCAACAGUCAUUGCCAGGGACCCAGAACUGAUAAUCAGGACUUUUAGGCUGGGUGAAUAAAAAAUUGAUGGUUGAAAAUUUAAGAAAGAGUUAUCUUCUUUGUGUUUUGACAUUUUGGAGGAGUAGACAGAUAAAGACAAGGCUUGGGGGUAUUUCCAAUGACAAGGAGGUGCUUGGAGCUGGAGUUGAACCAGCGACCUUAGGAUCACAGCGUUUCACACAAGGAGCAUCUUACAGUCCACCGCUCUACCAACUGAGCUAUCAAGGUGCUCUCUUGUCACGAGUGCAGAAAACAUAGUGGCUUCGAAGACACACUAUGCCCACAGAACUAUUCCAACCCAUGGUCAAUGAAAAGCCCAGCCCUACCUGCAGAACAAAGCUUUGCAGUUUGUACCCAACAGUCAUUGCCAGGGACCCAGAACUGAUAAUCAGGACUUUUAGGCUGGGUGAAUAAAAAAUUGAUGGUUGAAAAUUUAAGAAAGAGUUAUCUUCUUUGUGUUUUGACAUUUUGGAGGAGUUGACAGAUAAAGACAAGGCUUGGGGGUAUUUCCAAUGACAAGGAGGUGCUUGGAGCUGGAGUUGAACCAGCGACCUUAGGAUCACGGCAUUUCACACAAGGAGCAUCUUACAGUGCACCGCUCUACCAACUGAGCUAUCAAGGUGCUCUCUAGUCACAAGUGCAGAAAACAUAGUGGCUUCGAAGACACACUAUGCCCACAGAACUAUUCCAACCCAUGGUCAAUGAAAAGCCCAGCCCUACCUGCAGAACAAAGCUUUGCAGUUUGUACCCAACAGUCAUUGCCAGGGACCCAGAACUGAUAAUCAGGACUUUUAGGCUGGGUGAAUAAAAAAAUGAUGGUUGAAAAUUUAAGAAAGAGUUAUCUUCUUUGUGUUUUGACAUUUUGGAGGAGUUGACAGAUAAAGACAAGGCUUGGAGGUAUUUCGAAUGACAAGGAGGUGCUUGGAGCUGGAGUUGAACCAGCAACCUUAGGAUCACGGCGUUUCACACAAGGAGCAUAUUACAGUCCACCGCGCUACCAACUGAGCUAUCAAGGUGAUCUCUAGUCACAAGUGCAGAAAACAGAGUGGCUUCGAAGACACACUAUGCCCACAGAACUAUUCCAACCCAUGGUCAAUGAAAAGCCCAGCCCUACCUGCAGAACAAAGCUUUGCAGUUUGUACCCAACAGUCAUUGCCAGGGACCCAGAACUGAUAAUCAGGACUUUUAGGCUGGGUGAAUAAAAAAAUGAUGGUUGAAAAUUUAAGAAAGAGUUAUCUUCUUUGUGUUUUGACAUUUUGGAGGAGUUGACAGAUAAAGACAAGGCUUGGAGGUAUUUCCAAUGACAAGGAGGUGCUUGGAGCUGGAGUUGAACCAGCGACCUUAGGAUCACGGCGUUUCACACAAGGAGCAUCUUACAGUCCACCGCGCUACCAACUGAGCUAUCAAGGUGAUCUCUAGUCACAAGUGCAGAAAACAGAGUGGCUUCGAAGACACACUAUGCCCACAGAACUAUUCCAACCCAUGGUCAAUGAAAAGCCCAGCCCUACCUGCAGAACAAAGCUUUGCAGUUUGUACCCAACAGUCAUUGCCAGGGACCCAGAACUGAUAAUCAGGACUUUUAGGCUGGGUGAAUAAAAAAAUGAUGGUUGAAAAUUUAAGAAAGAGUUAUCUUCUUUGUGUUUUGACAUUUUGGAGGAGUUGACAGAUAAAGACAAGGCUUGGAGGUAUUUCCAAUGACAAGGAGGUGCUUGGAGCUGGAGUUGAACCAGCGACCUUAGGAUCACGGCGUUUCACACAAGGAGCAUCUUACAGUCCACCGCGCUACCAACUGAGCUAUCAAGGUGAUCUCUAGUCACAAGUGCAGAAAACAGAGUGGCUUCGAAGACACACUAUGCCCACAGAACUAUUCCAAUCCAUGGUCAAUGAAAAGCCCAGCCCUACCUGCAGAACAAAGCUUUGCAGUUUGUACCCAACAGUCAUUGCCAGGGACCCAGAACUGAUAAUCAGGACUUUUAGGCUGGGUGAAUAAAAAAAUGAUGGUUGAAAAUUUAAGAAAGAGUUAUAUUCUUUGUGUUUUGACAUUUUGGAGGAGUUGACAGAUAAAGACAAGGCUUGGGGUUAUUUCCAAUGACAAGGAGGUGCUUGGAGCUGGAGUUGAACCAGCGACCUUAGGAUCACAGCGUUUCACACAAGGAGCAUCUUACAGUCCACCGCUCUACCAACUGAGCUAUCAAGGUGCUCUCUAGUCACAAGUGCAGAAAACAGAGUGGCUUCGAAGACACACUAUGCCCACAGAACUAUUCCAACCCAUGGUCAAUGAAAAGCCCAGCCCUACCUGCAGAACAAAGCUUUGCAGUUUGUACCCAACAGUCAUUGCCAGGGACCCAGAACUGAUAAUCAGGACUUUUAGGCUGGGUGAAUAAAAAAUUGAUGGUUGAAAAUUUAAGAAAGAGUUAUCUUCUUUGUGUUUUGACAUUUUGGAGGAGUUGACAGAUAAAGACAAGGCUUGGGGGUAUUUUCAAUGACAAGGAGGUGCUUGGAGCUGGAGUUGAACCAGCGACCUUAGGAUCACAGCGUUUCACACAAGGAGCAUCUUACAGUCCACCGCUCUACCAACUGAGCUAUCAAGGUGCUCUCUAGUCACAAGUGCAGAAAACAUAGUGGCUUCGAAGACACACUAUGCCCACAGAACUAUUCCAACCCAUGGUCAAUGAAAAGCCCAGCCCUACCUGCAGAACAAAGCUUUGCAGUUUGUACCCAACAGUCAUUGCCAGGGACCCAGAACUGAUAAUCAGGACUUUUAGGCUGAGUGAAUAAAAAAUUGAUGGUUGAAAAUUUAAGAAAGAGAUAUCUUCUUUGUGUUUUGACAUAUUGGAGGAGUUGACAGAUAAAGACAAGGCUUGGGGGUAUUUCCAGUGACAAGGAGGUGCUUGGAGCUGGAGUUGAACCAGCGAGCUUAGGAUCACGGCGUUUCACACAAGGAGCAUCUUACAGUCCACCGCUCUACCAACUGAGCUAUCAAGGUGCUCUCUAGUCACAAGUGCAGAAAACAUAGUGGCUUCGAAGACACACUAUGCCCACAGAACUAUUCCAACCCAUGGUCAAUGAAAAGCCCAGCCCUACCUGCAGAACAAAACUUUGCAGUUUGUACCCAACAGUCAUUGCCAGGGACCCAGAACUGAUAAUCAGGACUUUUAGGCUGAGUGAAUAAAAAAUUGAUGGUUGAAAAUUUAAGAAAGAGUUAUCUUCUUUGUGUUUUGACAUUUUGGAGGAGUUGACAGAUAAAGACAAGGCUUGGGGGUAUUUCCAAUGACAAGGAGGUGCUUGGAGCUGGAGUUGAACCAGCGAGCUUAGGAUCACGGCGUUUCACACAAGGAGCAUCUUACAGUCCACCGCUCUACCAACUGAGCUAUCAAGGUGAUCUCUAGUCACAAGUGCAGAAAACAGAGUGGCUUCGAAGACACACUAUGCCCACAGAACUAUUCCAACCCAUGGUCAAUGAAAAGCCCAGCCCUACCUGCAGAACAAAGCUUUGCAGUUUGUACCCAACAGUCAUUGCCAGGGACCCAGAACUGAUAAUCAGGACUUUUAGGCUGGGUGAAUAAAAAAUUGAUGGUUGAAAAUUUAAGAAAGAGUUUUCUUCUUUGUGUUUUGACAUUUUGGAGGAGUUGACAGAUAAAGACAAGGCUUGGGGGUAUUUCCAAUGACAAGGAGGUGCUUGGUGCUGGAGUUGAACCAGCGACCUUAGGAUCACGGCGUUUCACACAAGGAGCAUCUUACAGUCCACCGCUCUACCAACUGAGCUAUCAAGGUGCUCUCUAGUCACAAGUGCAGAAAACAUAGUGGCUUCGAAGACACACUAUGCCCACAGAACUAUUCCAACCCAUGGUCAAUGAAAAGCCCAGCCCUACCUGCAGAACAAAGCUUUGCAGUUUGUACCCAACAGUCAUUGCCAGGGACCCAGAACUGAUAAUCAGGACUUUUAGGCUGGGUGAAUAAAAAAUUGAUGGUUGAAAAUUUAAGAAAGAGUUAUCUUCUUUGUGUUUUGACAUUUUGGAGGAGUUGACAGAUAAAGACAAGGCUUGGGGGUAUUUCCAAUGACAAGGAGGUGCUUGGAGCUGGAGUUGAACCAGCGACCUUAGGAUCACGGCGUUUCACACAAGGAGCAUCUUACAGUCCACCGCUCUACCAACUGAGCUAUCAAGGUGCUCUCUAGUCACAAGUGCAGAAAACAUAGUGGCUUCGAAGACACACUAUGCCCACAGAACUAUUCCAACCCAUGGUCAAUGAAAAGCCCAGCCCUACCUGCAGAACAAAGCUUUGCAGUUUGUACCCAACAGUCAUUGCCAGGGACCCAGAACUGAUAAUCAGGACUUUUAGGCUGAGUGAAUAAAAAAUUGAUGGUUGAAAAUUUAAGAAAGAGUUAUCUUCUUUGUGUUUUGACAUUUUGGAGGAGUUGACAGAUAAAGACAAGGCUUGGGGUUAUUUCCAAUGACAAGGAGGUGCUUGGAGCUGGAGUUGAACCAGCAACCUUAGGAUCACAGCGUUUCACACAAGGAGCAUCUUACAGUCCACCGCUCUACCAACUGAGCUAUCAAGGUGCUCUCUAGUCACAAGUGCAGAGAACAGAGUGGCUUCGAAGACACACUAUGCCCACAGAACUAUUCCAACCCAUGGUCAAUGAAAAGCCCAGCCCUACCUGCAGAACAAAGCUUUGCAGUUUGUACCCAACAGUCAUUGCCAGGGACCCAGAACUGAUAAUCAGGACUUUUAGGCUGGGUGAAUAAAAAAUUGAUGGUUGAAAAUUUAAGAAAGAGUUAUCUUCUUUGUGUUUUGACAUUUUGGAGGAGUUGACAGAUAAAGACAAGGCUUGGGGUUAUUUCCAAUGACAAGGAGGUGCUUGGAGCUGGAGUUGAACCAGCGACCUUAGGAUCACAGCGUUUCACACAAGGAGCAUCUUACAGUCCACCGCUCUACCAACUGAGCUAUCAAGGUGCUCUUUUGUCACAAGUGCAGAAAACAUAGUGGCUUCGAAGACACACUAUGCCCACAGAACUAUUCCAACCCAUGGUCAAUGAAAAGCCCAGCCCUACCUGCAGAACAAAGCUUUGCAGUUUGUACCCAACAGUCAUUGCCAGGGACCCAGAACUGAUAAUCAGGACUUUUAGGCUGAGUGAAUAAAAAAUUGAUGGUUGAAAAUUUAAGAAAGAGAUAUCUUCUUUGUGUUCUGACAUAUUGGAGGAGUUGACAGAUAAAGACAAGGCUUGGGGGUAUUUCCAGUGACAAGGAGGUGCUUGGAGCUGGAGUUGAACCAGCGAGCUUAGGAUCACGGCGUUUCACACAAGGAGCAUCUUACAGUCCACCGCUCUACCAACUGAGCUAUCAAGGUGCUCUCUAGUCACAAGUGCAGAAAACAUAGUGGCUUCGAAGACACACUAUGCCCACAGAACUAUUCCAACCCAUGGUCAAUGAAAAGCCCAGCCCUACCUGCAGAACAAAACUUUGCAGUUUGUACCCAACAGUCAUUGCCAGGGACCCAGAACUGAUAAUCAGGACUUUUAGGCUGAGUGAAUAAAAAAUUGAUGGUUGAAAAUUUAGGAAAGAGUUAUCUUCUUUGUGUUUUGACAUUUUGGAGGAGUUGACAGAUAAAGACAAGGCUUGGGGGUAUUUCCAAUGACAAGGAGGUGCUUGGAGCUGGAGUUGAACCAGCGAGCUUAGGAUCACGGCGUUUCACACAAGGAGCAUCUUACAGUCCACCGCUCUACCAACUGAGCUAUCAAGGUGAUCUCUAGUCACAAGUGCAGAAAACAGAGUGGCUUCGAAGACACACUAUGCCCACAGAACUAUUCCAACCCAUGGUCAAUGAAAAGCCCAGCCCUACCUGCAGAAC